rnacentral:rRNA from 1 species
AGAGUUUGAUCCUGGCUCAGAUUGAACGCUGGCGGCAGGCUUAACACAUGCAAGUCGAGCGGUAACAGGGGGAGCUUGCUCCCCGCUGACGAGCGGCGGACGGGUGAGUAAUGCAUAGGAAACUGCCCAGUAGUGGGGGAUAGCCCGGGGAAACCCGGAUUAAUACCGCAUACGCCCUUUGGGGGAAAGCAGGGGAUCUUCGGACCUUGCGCUAUUGGAUGUGCCUAUGUCGGAUUAGCUAGUUGGUGGGGUAAGAGCCUACCAAGGCGACGAUCCGUAGCUGGUCUGAGAGGAUGAUCAGCCACAUCGGGACUGAGACACGGCCCGAACUCCUACGGGAGGCAGCAGUGGGGAAUAUUGGACAAUGGGGGCAACCCUGAUCCAGCCAUGCCGCGUGUGUGAAGAAGGCUUUCGGGUUGUAAAGCACUUUCAGUGAGGAGGAAAACCUUAAGUUUAAUACGCUUGAGGCUUGACGUUACUCACAGAAGAAGCACCGGCUAACUCCGUGCCAGCAGCCGCGGUAAUACGGAGGGUGCAAGCGUUAAUCGGAAUUACUGGGCGUAAAGCGCGCGUAGGUGGUUUGAUAAGCGAGAUGUGAAAGCCCCGGGCUCAACCUGGGAACGGCAUUUCGAACUGUCAGGCUAGAGUAUGGUAGAGGAGUGUGGAAUUUCCUGGGUAGCGGUGAAAUGCGUAGAUAUAGGAAGGAACACCAGUGGCGAAGGCGGCACUCUGGACCAAUACUGACACUGAGGUGCGAAAGCGUGGGGAGCAAACAGGAUUAGAUACCCCUGUAGUCCACGCUGUAAACGAUGUCAACUAGCCGUUGGGACUCUUGAAGUCUUAGUGGAGCAGCUAACGCACUAGUUGACCGCCUGGGGAGUACGUCCGCAAGGUAAACUCAAAUGAUUGACGGGGCCCGCACAAGCGGUGGAGCAUGUGGUUUAUCGACGCCACGCGAAGAACUACUGCUGACUGCCAGAACUUCGAGAUGGAAUGUGCUCGGACUCUGACCAGGGCUGCAUGGCGUCUCAGCCUGUCCUGGAAGUAGUAGUCGUACAGCUACAAUCCUAUGUGUCCAGUCGCUGAAUCUAGGACUGCGGGUACCACCGGGA